GUGCUUGCUUUGGCAGCAUAUAUACUAAAACUGGAAUAAUAUAGAGAAAAUUAGCUUGGCCCCUACACAAGGAUGACUUGCAAAUUCAUGAAGCAUUUCAUAUUAAA
rnacentral:snRNA from 1 species